rnacentral:rRNA from 1 species
AACGAACGCUGGCGGCAUGCCUAACACAUGCAAGUCGAACGAGAUCUUCGGGUCUAGUGGCGCACGGGUGCGUAACGCGUGGGAAUCUGCCCUUUGGUUCGGAAUAACAGUUGGAAACGACUGCUAAUACCGGAUGAUGACGAAAGUCCAAAGAUUUAUCGCCAGAGGAUGAGCCCGCGUAGGAUUAGCUAGUUGGUGUGGUAAAGGCGCACCAAGGCGACGAUCCUUAGCUGGUCUGAGAGGAUGAUCAGCCACACUGGGACUGAGACACGGCCCAGACUCCUACGGGAGGCAGCAGUGGGGAAUAUUGGACAAUGGGCGAAAGCCUGAUCCGGCAAUGCCGCGUGAGUGAUGAAGGCCCUAGGGUUGUAAAGCUCUUUUACCCGGGAUGAUAAUGACAGUACCGGGAGAAUAAGCUCCGGCUAACUCCGUGCCAGCAGCCGCCGUAA